rnacentral:rRNA from 1 species
AUUGAACGCUGGCGGCAUGCCUUACACAUGCAAGUCGAACGGUAACGGGCCUUCGGGUGCCGACGAGUGGCGAACGGGUGAGUAAUACAUCGGAACGUGCCCGAUCGUGGGGGAUAACGAGGCGAAAGCUUUGCUAAUACCGCAUACGAUCUACGCAUGAAAGCAGGGGACCGCAAGGCCUUGCGCGGACGGAGCGGCCGAUGGCAGAUUAGGUAGUUGGUGGGAUAAAAGCUUACCAAGCCGACGAUCUGUAGCUGGUGUGAGAGGAUGAUCAGCCACACUGGGACUGGGACACGGCCCAGACUCCUACGGGAGGCAGCAGUGGGGAAUGUGGGACAAUGGGCGCAAGCCUGAUCCAGCCAUGCCGCGUGCAGGAUGAAGGCCUUCGGGUUGUAAACUGCUUUUGUACGGAACGAAAAGCCUUCUUUUAAUACAGGGGGGUCAUGACGGUACCGUAAGAAUAAGCACCGGCUAACUACGUG